rnacentral:rRNA from 1 species
GACGAACGCUGGCGGCGUGCUUAACACAUGCAAGUCGAACGGAAAGGCCCCUUUGGGGGUCCUCGCGUGGCGAACGGGUGAGUAACACGUGAGUAACCUGCCCUUGACUUCGGGAUAACUUCAGGAAACUGGGGCUAAUACCGGAUAGGAAUCCUUGCUGCAUGGUGGGGGUUGGAAAGCUUCGGCGGUUUUGGAUGGACUCGCGGCUUAUCAGCUUGUUGGUGGGGGAGUGGCUUACCAAGGCUUUGACGGGUAGCCGGCCUGGGAGGGCGACCGGCCACAGUGGGACUGAGAUACGGCCCAGACUCCUACGGGAGGCAGCAGUGGGGAAUAUUGCACAAUGGGCGGAAGCCUGAUGCAGCAACGCCGCGUGCGGGAUGACGGCCUUCGGGUUGGAAACCGCUUUCAGCAGGGGCGAAGCUUGUGGUGACGGUACCUGCAGAAGAAGCACCGGCUAACUACGUG